UCGAACGAUGAACACUUCGGUGGGGAUUAGUGGCGAACGGGUGAGUAACACGUGGGCAAUCUGCCCUGCACUCUGGGACAAGCCCUGGAAACGGGGUCUAAUACCGGAUACUGACCAUCGAGGGCAUCUUUGAUGGUCGAAAGCUCCGGCGGUGCAGGAUGAGCCCGCGGCCUAUCAGCUUGUUGGUGAGGUAAUGGCUCACCAAGGCGACGACGGGUAGCCGGCCUGAGAGGGCGACCGGCCACACUGGGACUGAGACACGGCCCAGACUCCUACGGGAGGCAGCAGUGGGGAAUAUUGCACAAUGGGCGAAAGCCUGAUGCAGCGACGCCGCGUGAGGGAUGACGGCCUUCGGGUUGUAAACCUCUUUCAGCAGGGAAGAAGCGAAAGUGACGGUACCUGCAGAAGAAGCGCCGGCUAACUACGUGCCAGCAGCCGCGGUAAUACGUAGGGCGCGAGCGUUGUCCGGAAUUAUUGGGCGUAAAGAGCUCGUAGGCGGCUUGUCGCGUCGGUUGUGAAAGCCCGGGGCUUAACCCCGGGUCUGCAGUCGAUACGGGCAGGCUAGAGUUCGGUAGGGGAGAUCGGAAUUCCUGGUGUAGCGGUGAAAUGCGCAGAUAUCAGGAGGAACACCGGUGGCGAAGGCGGAUCUCUGGGCCGAUACUGACGCUGAGGAGCGAAAGCGUGGGGAGCGAACAGGAUU
rnacentral:rRNA from 1 species